ACCAGCAUCUAAGUCUACCUCCGCAGCAAAUUCUGGUCAGUAUUUGAUUAAUUGUUUGGCUCACAGGUUGAUUAGUCAGCCUCUGCUACAGGUGCUGCAAAGGGAAAUUAUGUCUAGCAUAAGACACAAUCUCUGACAUUGAAGAACUUACAAUUGAAUUGAGGAAAUAACAUAUCUCCGGACAACUUAACAAGAAGAAGAGCUUUGAAUAAGUAAGGAUAGGUUCCUUUGCAUCCAGUGGAAAGGCAGCUGCUUCCAUCUCCAUGUCAACUUCAUUCUUUCUUACUGCAGAUCAUCUGUCAAUUCAUAGUUCAUAUCAGGACCACCAUCAACUCUUACAUGCCAUAUGCAACACAGAGGAGACAUUCCUAUUUUUCUACAUCCUUUCUAAAAAGCACUGGUAAAGAAUCCUGAUAGUCACAAUUAGAUGUUUACCCACAGAUUAUUAGUUCUGUAUAUGAAGAUGCAGUUGGCCAAUAUAGAUAUGAUCACUGAGACUCCAUUCGUUUGUUUGUUUGUUUGUUUAUUUAUUUAUUUAUUUAUUUAUUUAUACUUUAAGUUCUAGGGUACAUGUGCACAAUGUGCAGGUUUGGAGACCCCAUUCUUUAGUUUCAGGAUGAUUUCACAAAAGCAUGGAUCAUGACUUUGACAACUACUUAUUGCCUCCUUAGGGCAACUAUGGCUAAAAUACAAAAAGUAUUUACACAUACAUUAUAAAUAUGCAUAUGUAUGCAAACUAAAAUCAAUGAAGGGAUGAUAGGUAACAAAGAUGGGGACAUUUACUUUAACUUAAUAUUCUUAACUUUAGGAUAUUGAGGAUAUUGUUUGAAGUGGCCACAUAGCUACUGAUAAAAUUAUUUUUGGCUGAAUAAAAGUUAAUACAUACUUAAACUUUUUAUGUUGCAUUAAGUGACAUAAAUUCUGCAACAUAAUGGGAGAAAAUUUAUUUUAAUACGAUUAGGUCACAUUUGAAAUGUGUCACUUUAAGUUAGUAUAGUCAAACUCUGGAAAAUCUAUCAAACAAAUAUCAGCAAGGUGAAGAGAAAUCAUGAUGGGAAAAUGAGUUUCCCAUGAGGGAUGCCAAAACAAUAGCCAUUUACCCUUUUAGCACUGCUAAAUAAAUAUUUGCCAAACUCACAGAUGAGCUGAAUAGCUUUAACAAUAGCAGCUGUACUUUCAUCUGUUUGUUCACAUUUGAUAUAACAUUCUAUCAAAAUUGCUUUCAAAGUUUAAAAAUUACAGCAUUAAAUGACUCUGAGAUCUUUUCAACCCUAAGAUUUACUUAUUGCCUCUUUAGGGCAACUAUAGCUACAACCUAUAUGUCUCAGUUCUAAGUAAAAUUGACAUGAA
rnacentral:lncRNA from 10 species